rnacentral:rRNA from 1 species
UAAGGAAUAUUGGUCAAUGGACGCAAGCCUGAUCCAGCCAUGCCGCGUGAGUGAUGAAGGCCCUAGGGUUGUAAAGCUCUUUUGUGCGGGAAGAUAAUGACGGUACCGCAAGAAUAAGCCCCGGCUAACUUCGUGCCAGCAGCCGCGGUAAUACGAAGGGGGCUAGCGUUGCUCGGAAUCACUGGGCGUAAAGGGUGCGUAGGCGGGUUUCUAAGUCAGAGGUGAAAGCCUGGAGCUCAACUCCAGAACUGCCUUUGAUACUGGAAGUCUUGAGUUCGGGAGAGGUGAGUGGAACUGCGAGUGUAGAGGUGAAAUUCGUAGAUAUUCGCAAGAACACCAGUGGCGAAGGCGGCUCACUGGCCCGAUACUGACGCUGAGGCACGAAAGCGUGGGGAGCAAACA